rnacentral:pre_miRNA from 1 species
UCAACCGAUUUUCAAAAAUUUAUUAGUUUUGGAAAGGUACAUUUCUCACCUUUCCAAAACUGGUAAAUUUUUGAAAAUCGGUUA